GGCGGUGUAGCUCAGUUGGUUAGAGCAGCUGAAUCAUAAUCAGCGGGUCACAGGUUCGAGUCCUGUCACCGCCA
rnacentral:tRNA from 1 species